GUCGGUAGUAAAGUUUGGAUAUCGGCUGUGAAGAGGGUUCGGUUGGCAUGUGCAUACAUGCUUUAUGAAUUAAAUACAAACGCGAAAAAACAGGUGACGAAGAAAAAGAAAACGAAAGUUCGCUCCUGCUCGUUUCGUUUGGAACGAGAGUGUGACAGUGGUGUUAUGUUGAUAAGAAAACGAUAGUAAUAACAAUAAAAAUAAUAGUAACAAUAAACUGUCAGGCAGUAUGUCAAAGUAACAGGUACGGCCGAAUAAUAUUACGGUGACUUCGCGAGGGGCGCGGCGAGGAGGGCGCGGGUGAAAAACCUUCCGUGUGUGCGUGUCAUUGGUGUUGUGCAGUUUCUGAUAUUUAUGGUUGGCGUUGUUUGCGUUAAAACUCGUGUGAUUUAAUUUCAUUGCGAACUUCACAUUCCAAGGAAGGAAAGGAAGGAAGGGCUCACCAACCUGAAGUAGGCAGAAGGAAAAUUACCUCUGCGGUGUUUACUGCGCGCGACAAAGUAUACGAGGUUGUCGUUGUACCCGCGAUUUUGGCCCGAUGAACUUUCCAUCGGCGAGGAUCGCUUUCGAAGAAAAAAGGAAUGGCUAGCCUCUCGGUAGCCCCAUCAAGCAAGAACAGCUCCCGAAGCACUUCACCAAGUCGAAGCACUACUCAAGCACAGCGUCACCAUCUUCCGGUCACCCUGGAUCCUGUUACAAAGUCUCGAAAUGUCGCUGCACAUCAUUCGGGAGAAGGAAGCACAGGCAGUGGCAGUAGUGGCGGUGGUGGAGGCAUGAAAGGCAGCAGCCGGCAGAGGUCACCCGGUGCGGUUGCACGGUCGGGAGACGGUACCGAUGAUCCUGGGACAACUGGAACCAUAGCUGAUCUAGAAGAUUUUGUAUCGAAUAUUAAUCCGCCAACAGACGACGAAGGGGAGGCCUACCAUGCCACACAGUCCUUCCUUUCAAACGGAUCGUCGGAGUUAAUCGGCGAUGAUGUUGACUCUAACGGCGCCCGUGGCCGUCAAGCCAUGGAGCAUUUGCAAAACAAAAUUGUAAGAACCAGAGAGUUAAUACGAAUAGAACAAACGACUCGAGACGACAAUGUAAACGAGUAUUUAAAAUUAGCUGCCAAUGCUGACAAGCAGCAGCUGACGAGAAUCAAGGCUGUAUUUGAGAAGAAAAAUCAAAAAUCGGCGCAUAGUAUAUCGCAGCUGCAAAAGAAGUUGGAGAGUUAUACAAAGAAGUUGAAAGAUUACGAAGUUCAUGGCGCUCCGACCAGUCACAGGCAGCCUAGAGAAGUUCUUCGUGAUAUGGGACAGGGGCUUAAAAAUGUGGGUGGUAAUAUUAGAGAUGGAAUCACUGGUUUUUCAGGGAGCGUCAUGUCCAAGCCUCGAGAGUUUGCACAUCUUAUAAAAAACAAGUUCGGCAGUGCGGACAACAUAAACACAUUAUCACUUGAAACUAAUGGCUCAACUUUUUAUGUAAACGAUACACCACGUGCAGGUAACGAUGACAACGGUAGCGUUGAAGAAGAGAAGACGCACCAUGGUUCGGCAACACUUCCUGGCGGAUGCAGCCUGGGUUCGACGCAUAGUGCUGCUGCUAUUAAAUUCCCAUCCGAAGAAGGCUCGGAGUGUUCUAGCGUUACCAGCGAAAGCGCUCCCGGCAGCAGAGGGCAGCCCCAUGCUUGCCACAGCAACAGUGCUGCUUUCAGCCUCAAGCCGAUUUUCUCGGAACUUCAGGAAAACAGAGAAAAUUACGAUAGGCUGCGAGAAAAACUCGAAGGAUUCAAGGUUCUUCAGCAAGAAGUGGCAUAUCUGUCGCAUGCACUUCAAGAGGAACGCUUCAGAUGUGAGCGUCUGGAAGAACAAGUUAAUGACCUCACUGAGCUUCAUCAGAACGAGAUUGAGAACUUAAAACAAACAAUAACUGAUAUGGAAGAAAAGGUUCAGUAUCAGAGCGAAGACCGGUUGCGGGAUAUUCACGAGAUGUUGGAAAGUUGUCAGACGAAAAUUUGGAAGAUGGAACACCAGCAACAACAGCACCAACAGUACGUCACACUCGAGGGGCUUGACAACAGCAAUGCACGAGCUUUGGUUGUCAAAUUGAUAAACGUUGUUCUUACAGUCCUACAAGUUGUCUUACUUCUUGUUGCAACAGGUGCUGGCAUAAUGAUGCCAUUCCUGAGGACCAGCUGUACUAAGCCUCAUUGUUUCAUGUGCAGGGUGCGCAUACUGACUACGACGCUCGUCGUCCUCGGAAUUGUAUUCGUACUAAAGCAGUGGCCAGAAGUCCACGACGUUGGUAGUCAUCUAAUGCGACGCCUCAAACAAACCUUAGCAGUAAAGUAGCAUUGGUUACACGCUCAAUAUAAAUCACCAGCACCCUCCACUGCUGAAUUGAAGAAGGAACACGUACCUCGCUCUACUUCACGUCGGUUCAAUCAGCAGUUAUCUGUAUUCCAUCGUGGGACCCCCUGACCACAAUCUCAGUCGAUAUAAUUUCCAUGACUUGGUCAGACACCUCCUCCUUCUGAUCUGUAGUUGAUGGCAGAUGGUGCUUCUUGCGAUGGCACAUCAUAGUAGACCGGGAUACAAACGCCUUGCGACAAAUAUCGCAUUCAUAUGGACGUUCACCAGUGUGAAGACGUUUAUGUAUCGCCAUAGGACUGAACUGGGUGAAUGUUUUUCCACAUACGUCGCAUCUGUAGGGCCGCUCGCCGGUGUGCGAUCGACGAUGGCAUCGGAGAGCCGCACGACGGGCAAACGCUUUGCCACACAUCUCACAUACAAAACUCUUCUCACCGGUGUGCAUUGUGGAGUGAAUUUUGAGGUCGACCCUUGUGAGGAAACCCUUUCCGCAUACCUCACAUUUGUAUGGUUUUUCACCAGUAUGAAUACGAAGAAUUGUACCCGUUCCAUUUGGCAUGUGUCGUGACAGUCUUGAUUCUGUGGACUGAUUGAUGUCACAUAGUUUAUGUCCAGUUGGCUGAGGUCCGUCUCGACUGUCAGGUUACUUACGACCGUCACAUCUCCUUCUAGAUGCAUCGUGAGCUGCUGAGUAGAGACCUGUAAUGGAUACUUUUAAGAUUGCCAAGCUUCCUGAACAAAUAUCAGUAUGAAGUUAGGUAAUCGAUAAAAAGAACAUGGUAAUUAUAAAGAGUUGAUCAGCUCUAAGUUUGCAGAAUUUUUUCAAAGAUAUUAUAUAAGAGCUAUAUAAUGAACUUUCUGAUUUCUUUGUACACGUAUCUGUAGAAUUAUAAUGCAUGAAGAACGUUAAUUGGAAAGAAAUACGGAACUAAUUUUUGAGAUCCAAUCAGUAGCUCCUUAAGUAAUAUCAUUGA
rnacentral:misc_RNA from 1 species